GACGAACGCUGGCGGCGUGCCUAAUACAUGCAAGUUGAGCGCUGAAGGUUGGUACUUGUACCAACUGGAUGAGCAGCGAACGGGUGAGUAACGCGUGGGGAAUCUGCCUUUGAGCGGGGGACAACAUUUGGAAACGAAUGCUAAUACCGCAUAAAAACUUUAAACACAAGUUUUAAGUUUGAAAGAUGCAAUUGCAUCACUCAAAGAUGAUCCCGCGUUGUAUUAGCUAGUUGGUGAGGUAAAGGCUCACCAAGGCGAUGAUACAUAGCCGACCUGAGAGGGUGAUAGGCCACAUUGGGACUGAGACACGGCCCAAACUACUACGGGAGGCAGCAGUAGGGAAUCUUCGGCAAUGGACGAAAGUCUGACCGAGCAACGCCGCGUGAGUGAAGAAGGUUUUCGGAUCGUAAAACUCUGUUGGUAGAGAAGAACGUUGGUGAGAGUGGAAAGCUCAUCAGGUGACGGUAACUACACAGAAAGGGACGGCUAACUACGUG
rnacentral:rRNA from 1 species